rnacentral:lncRNA from 1 species
CUUGGCUGAAGACAAUAAAGAGAACUAGAUGUCAUCCUGCUGAUCCCAAUUUCCUAUGUUUCUGGCACCAGAAAACCCUGAAUGAUAGGUUUUUCUGAAGCUGCUGACAUUGGGUCAGCCCUCAAUAUCAUCACCUCUAGCCAUGUUCAGGAGGUACUCAAAGGUAACACUGGCAGCUGAGAGCAGGCCAGUCAAUGUCUGGCCACCACCCUAAUCCCACCUGGACAGUCACACCCCACCUCCCUAUGUGUGUUCGCACAGUGGGGGUGAUGUCAUGUGGGUCUGGCCUGUCCUGAGCAGACCCAGGUGUUGGGUUGUCAGAAACCCAGUGACCCAUCACAUUCACUCCUCAGAUCAUGGCUCAAAAGUCUACAGAGCAGAGACAAGAGAUUGACAAAGAGGUGUUGAUGAGGUAAGGAGAUCUUAGACAAGAAGGAUCAACAAAAACAGAUUUUGGGGGCCAGGCACGGUGGCUCAGGCCUGUAAUCCCCACAAUUUGGGAGGCCGAGGCUGGUGGAUCACCUGAGAUCAGGGCUUCAAGACCAUCUUGACCAACAUGGCGAAACCCCAUCUCUACUAGAAAUACAAAAAAUUAGCCGGGCGUGGUGGCAGGCGCCUGUAAUCCCAGCUAUUCAGCAGUCUGAGGCAGGAGAAUUGCUUGAACUUGGGAGGCAGAGGUUGCAGUGAGCUGAGACUGCAACAUUGCAUUCCAGCCUGGGUGACAGUGCAAGAAUCCGUCUUAAAUUAAAAAAA